GGUUGACCUCGGAUCAGGUAGGGAUACCCGCUGAACUUAAGCAUAUCAAUAAGCGGAGGAAAAGAAACCAACCGGGAUUGCCUCAGUAACGGCGAGUGAAGCGGCAAGAGCUCAAAUUUGAAAUCUGGCCCCCUCGGGGUCCGAGUUGUAAUUUGCAGAGGAUGCUUCGGGUGCGGCCCCCGUCUAAGUGCCCUGGAACGGGCCGUCAUAGAGGGUGAGAAUCCCGUCUGGGACGGGGUGUCCGUGCCCGUGUGAAGCUCCUUCGACGAGUCGAGUUGUUUGGGAAUGCAGCUCUAAAUGGGUGGUAAAUUUCAUCUAAAGCUAAAUACUGGCCGGAGACCGAUAGCGCACAAGUAGAGUGAUCGAAAGAUGAAAAGCACUUUGAAAAGAGAGUUAAAUAGCACGUGAAAUUGUUGAAAGGGAAGCGCUUGCGACCAGACUCGCCCGCGGGGUUCAGCCGGCAUUCGUGCCGGUGUACUUCCCCGUGGGCGGGCCAGCGUCGGUUUGGGCGGCCGGUCAAAGGCCCCCGGAAUGUAGUGCCCUUCGGGGCACCUUAUAGCCGGGGGUGCAAUGCGGCCAGCCUGGACCGAGGAACGCGCUUCGGCACGGACGCUGGCAUAAUGGUUGCAAACGACC
rnacentral:rRNA from 3 species